AUUGAACGCUGGCGGAAUGCUUUACACAUGCAAGUCGAACGGCAGCACGGACUUCGGUCUGGUGGCGAGUGGCGAACGGGUGAGUAAUGUAUCGGAACGUGCCCAGUCGUGGGGGAUAACGUAGUGAAAAUUACGCUAAUACCGCAUACGAUCUAUGGAUGAAAGCGGGGGAUCGCAAGACCUCGCGCGAUUGGAGCGGCCGAUAUCAGAUUAGGUAGUUGGUGGGGUAAAGGCCCACCAAGCCAACGAUCUGUAGCUGGUCUGAGAGGACGACCAGCCACACUGGAACUGAGACACGGUCCAGACCCCUACGGGAGGCAGCAGUGGGGAAUUUUGGACAAUGGGCGAAAGCCUGAUCCAGCCAUUCCGCGUGCAGGAUGAAGGCCCUCGGGUUGUAAACUGCUUUUGUACAGAACGAAAAGGUUUCUACUAAUACUAGGAGCUCAUGACGGUAUUGUAAGAAUAAGCACCGGCUAACUACGUGCCAGCAGCCGCGGUAA
rnacentral:rRNA from 1 species